CUCAGAUUGAACGCUGGCGGCAGGCCUAACACAUGCAAGUCGAACGGUAACAGGAAGCAGCUUGCUGCUUCGCUGACGAGUGGCGGACGGGUGAGUAAUGUCUGGGAAACUGCCUGAUGGAGGGGGAUAACUACUGGAAACGGUAGCUAAUACCGCAUAACGUCGCAAGACCAAAGAGGGGGACCUUCGGGCCUCUUGCCAUCGGAUGUGCCCAGAUGGGAUUAGCUUGUUGGUGGGGUAACGGCUCACCAAGGCGACGAUCCCUAGCUGGUCUGAGAGGAUGACCAGCCACACUGGAACUGAGACACGGUCCAGACUCCUACGGGAGGCAGCAGUGGGGAAUAUUGCACAAUGGGCGCAAGCCUGAUGCAGCCAUGCCGCGUGUAUGAAGAAGGCCUUCGGGUUGUAAAGUACUUUCAGCGGGGAGGAAGGGAGUAAAGUUAAUACCUUUGCUCAUUGACGUUACCCGCAGAAGAAGCACCGGCUAACUCCGUGCCAGCAGCCGCGGUAAUACGGAGGGUGCAAGCGUUAAUCGGAAUUACUGGGCGUAAAGCGCACGCAGGCGGUUUGUUAAGUCAGAUGUGAAAUCCCCGGGCUCAACCUGGGAACUGCAUCUGAUACUGGCAAGCUUGAGUCUCGUAGAGGGGGGUAGAAUUCCAGGUGUAGCGGUGAAAUGCGUAGAGAUCUGGAGGAAUACCGGUGGCGAAGGCGGCCCCCU
rnacentral:rRNA from 1 species